AUGAUAGAGGCCUGCUUCAUACAGAGCUAUGGAUUCAUUGCAGCAUUUUGGCUGGGACUCUUCUCUUUAACUGUGGCAGAGGCAGCAGAAUCUUUUGGCACUAUUAGAAGGUUCAUUUAUUUAAAGAAGAAAAUGAGACACAGAAUUUUCCUUCAAAGAAAUCAGCUUAGUGAAAUCCAGGGAAGAGAAGAAGCAGUGAGCUUUUACAAAGGACACCAUGAAAAUAGUCUUAAAUAAUUCUUUGAUUGAGUCCUACAUAAUAUGUUAUUUAGAAUUAAAAACAAUUUCACGGGGAACCUGUAUUUUCACAGUACUGAACACAUAUGAAUGUGGGAUGUCGAGCUGGGGAAGAGGGCGCAAAUCUUCUUCCCCUCUCCCACUAUCAGGGGGAAGCCAACAGAAAUGCAAAGCAAAAAAAAAAAAGAGCUAAAAGCCUAAGAAAACAUUUUUCUGGCUUGCCAGUCACACAAGUCUCUGAGCCUUUAUUUUGAAAGAAAUGGCUUGUGUUGAGUCUUCCUUGAUAGAGAAAUUAGAGGGUGAAAGUGAACCGUCAACCUGGAAAAAGACAGGGUCCCUUUAAGCAGUCAAAAAGAAAAAGGUUCAAUUUCUGAACUCAAGAGAUAACUGUGUGCCAGGGCCUCUGGGUAACAUUAAGAUAUGAUCACUUGCUGGGAACAAAUGUUUUCAUCUCCCCCCUUUUAUGUAUUUGGCAAUACUUGUAACGCUGACUCCCUAGUUGCUAUUUCUUUGUUCAGUUUUUCCUUUUGCCUCAGAACUUUAUCACACACCACCCUCCCCUCUGAUAAAUCUUGGCAUAAAAUUCUUGGCAUCUUGGUUGGUUGGGUUCAUAUGGCCUCAAAACAGAGAAGCUAGUUAAAUUUCCACCCUCUUCAUCCUCUGGCUCACAGCUCACUUCUCAGAAUCCUGAAGCAAUGAAGAAUCAUCCAGAUAGGGAAUAAUGUCAUCCAGAGCCUCAGACUUCUGAGCUGGGAUGGGUUAAGCCAUUCUAGGUGUGAUGUGCAUUAAAAAAGCCUUUGUUGAUUCUUUGCAUUCCCUUUACAGAAUAUGAAGCAGCAGUCGUAGCCAGGCACUAUUUUCAGAGCCGUGCCAACACUUAUUAAUAACGCUGGUGUGUAAAAGACAUACCCAUUUCAAACUCCUUUAGAUCCAAAAAAAAAUUACCAUUUGCUGGGAAGAGAGUAGAGAAAACAAUGGCCACAAAUCACUACCAGAAUGA
rnacentral:lncRNA from 1 species